rnacentral:misc_RNA from 1 species
UUUCCGUAGGUGAACCUGCGGAAGGAUCAUUCAUACUAAGUGUAUUAUGUCACUUUUUUAAAUCCCUAUCCACCUUGUUUGCAAUGUUAUUGUUGGUUUUUCUCUCGAGCCGGUCAUCCCCAAACAUCAACUAUAUCUUAAUUUUCUGUCUGAAAAAUAUUAUGAAUAAAACGAUACAAAAUACAACUCUCAACAACGGAUAUCUAGGCUCUC